UCUUGAGUGUUGGAGAGGAAAGCGGAAUUCCUGGUGUAGCGGUGAAAUGCGUAGAUAUCAGGAGGAACACCGGUGGCGAAGGCGGCUUUCUGGACGGUAACUGACGCUGAGGCGCGAAAGCGUGGGUAGCAAACAGGAUUAGAUACCCUGGUAGUCCACGCUGUAAACGAUGGAUACUAGGUGUAGGGGGUAUCGACCCCCCCUGUGCCGGAGUUAACACAAUAAGUAUCCCACCUGGGGAGUACGGCCGCAAGGUUGAAACUCAAAGGAAUUGACGGGGGCCCGCACAAGCAGUGGAGUAUGUGGUUUAAUUCGAAGCAACGCGAAGAACCUUACCAGGGCUUGACAUACUGAGGAAUGCUGUCGAGAGGCAGCAGCCCUUCGGGGCCUCAGAACAGGUGGUGCAUGGUUGUCGUCAGCUCGUGUCGUGAGAUGUUGGGUUAAGUCCCGCAACGAGCGCAACCCUUGCAGUCAGUUGGCAUCAUUAAGUUGGCCACUCUGAGUGGACUGCCGGUGACAAAUCGGAGGAAGGUGGGGACGACGUCAAAUCAUCAUGCCCCUUAUGUCCUGGGCUACACACGUACUACAAUGGCUGCUACAGAGGGAAGCGAAGCCGCGAGGCAGAGCGGAUCCUAAAAAGCAGUCUCAGUUCAGAUUGCGGGCUGCAACCCGCCCGCAUGAAGCAGGAAUUGCUAGUAAUGGCAGGUCAGCAUACUGUC
rnacentral:rRNA from 1 species